rnacentral:rRNA from 1 species
GACGAACGCUGGCGGCGUGCUUAACACAUGCAAGUCGAACGGAAAGGCCCUGCUUUUGUGGGGUGCUCGAGUGGCGAACGGGUGAGUAACACGUGAGUAACCUGCCCUUGACUUUGGGAUAACUUCAGGAAACUGGGGCUAAUACCGGAUAGGAGCUCCUGCUGCAUGGUGGGGGUUGGAAAGUUUCGGCGGUUGGGGAUGGACUCGCGGCUUAUCGGCUUGUUGGUGGGGUAGUGGCUUACCAAGGCUUUGACGGGUAGCCGGCAUGAGAGGGUGACCGGCCACAUUAGGACUGAGAUACGGCCCAGACUCCUACGGGAGGCAGCAGUGGAGAGUAUUACACAGUGGGCGGACGCGUGAUGCAACAACCCCGCGUGCGGGAUGACGUCCUUCGGGUUGUAAACCGCUUUCGCCUGUGACGAAGCGUGAGUGACGGUAAUGGGUAAAGAAGCACCGGCUAACUACGUG